rnacentral:rRNA from 1 species
AAUGGGUGCAAGCCUGAACCAGCCAUCCCGCGUGAAGGACGACUGCCCUAUGGGUUGUAAACUUCUUUUGUAUAGGGAUAAACCUACUCUCGUGAGGGUAGCUGAAGGUACUAUACGAAUAAGCACCGGCUAACUCCGUGCCAGCAGCCGCGGUAAUACGGAGGGUGCAAGCGUUAUCCGGAUUUAUUGGGUUUAAAGGGUCCGUAGGCGGACUUAUAAGUCAGUGGUGAAAGCCUGUCGCUUAACGAUAGAACUGCCAUUGAUACUGUAAGUCUUGAGUAUAUUUGAGGUAGCUGGAAUAAGUAGUGUAGCGGUGAAAUGCAUAGAUAUUACUUAGAACACCAAUUGCGAAGGCAGGUUACCAAGAUAUAACUGACGCUGAGGGACGAAAGCGUGGGGAGCGAA